GCCUGGCUGGCUCAGUCGGUAGAGCAUGUGAUUCUUGAUCUCAGAGUUGUGAGUUCAAGCCCCAUGUUGGGUG
rnacentral:tRNA from 1 species